AAAAGAGUGAGGAGAAGCCCCCAAUGCUCUUAAAGCCUCAGCCUAGGACUGUCACCUCUGCUUAGCUUACUAUCAGUGGGGUGAGGAAAUAUACAUCACCUUUUGUGGAAGGAAUGUCAAAGUCAUACAGCUAAAGAUGUGGAGACAGGGAAAGCUUGGCAGGCUCUAGAGAGACUGACCUCUGCAGAUGGUUUAAAGCGAGAAGCUCAAGGUCCACAGUUCACAGGGCUGCCAAUCAGGCCUGUGCAGAAAACUCAACAGUCUAAAAGGAUAUACGAAGACAGAACCUCAACCUAGAAGAAAUGGACAAAUUCCCAGACACAUCAAGGAAUUCCUAGACAACCUAUCAAAACUGAAUCAUGAUUAGAUAGAAAAUCUGAACAGACCAAUAUAAGUAAAGAGAUUAAAGCAGUAAUAAACUCUCCCAUUAAAGAAAAGCUCAGGACCUGAUGCCUUCACUGCUGAAUUCUACCAAACAUUUAAAGAACUAAUACCAACCAUUCUCAAACUCUUUUUAAAAAUUGAAGAUGAGAGAACACUUCCAAAUUCAUAUCACGAGGCCAGCAUUACCCUGACUCCAAAGCCAGACAAAGACACUAUAAGAAAAGGCAAUUAGGGACCAAUAUCCCUGAUAAACAUGGAUGUAAAAAUCCUCAUCAAAAUACUAGCAAAUGAAAUUCAACUGCAAAUUUAAAAAAGCAUUCACCAUGAUCGAGUGGGAUUUAUCCCUGGGAUGCAGGAAGGUUCAACAUACACAAAUCCAUAAACGUGAUACACCACAUCAACAGGAUGAAGGACAAAAUCUUUAUAAUCUCAAUAGAUGCAGGAAAAGCAUUUCACAGAAUUCAGCACCCUUUCAUGAUUAAAAAAAAAAAACUCAACAAAAUGUAGAAGGACUGUACCUCAACACAAUGAAGGCCAGAUAUGACAAACCCACAGCUAACAUUCUCAACAGUGAAAAGUUAAAAGCUUUUCUU